rnacentral:rRNA from 1 species
UACGGAGGGUGCGAGCGUUAAUCGGAAUUACUGGGCGUAAAGCGUGCGUAGGCGGCCCGUUAAGUCAGAUGUGAAAGCCCUGGGCUCAACCUGGGAACGGCAUUUGAAACUGGCGGGCUAGAGUUUGGUAGAGGGGAGUGGAAUUUCAGGUGUAGCGGUGAAAUGCGUAGAUAUCUGAAGGAACACCAGUGGCGAAGGCGACUCCCUGGACUAGAACUGACGCUGAGGUACGAAAGCGUGGGUAGCAAACAGG